CCUGAGUAUAAACAGGAGGUUAUUUGAAACACAUGGCCCUGGAAAAGACACAGGAGUAGAAGCUACAACAGCAGCAGCUGCAGCAGAAGCAGCAGCAGCAGCAGCAGCAGCAGCAGCAAACCCCCUGGCUUCCCUGUCCCUGAAAAGAAGGAGGAUCACCCUACUCUUCUUCUGGGACUCACUCUGAAUGGAGUAACCAUCUAUCAAGUAAGGACUCCUCUUUCUUUCCCAUCUCCUGCUGCCACAGAUCCAACCCAUGACAGACCACCAGGGCUGCUGAGGAUGGCUCUGUAGCUAAGAGGCAAAGUGUCACAGCCAGAAGAGCCAUCACAAGGGGAGGCUAGGAGCCUACUGGGGACUAAGUAUAUUCCUGGUUGCCUAGCUAUCAUGGGAAUGCAGAGCUCAUUCUCCAAGGAUGCAGCUUUGCUGUAUGCACCUAUGCUCCGAUGUAUCUCAAGUAUGGCAGGACACUGAUCACCACUGGCUCCCGGAACACAGUGGUACUUCAUGUUCCUCCAACACUAGCUCUUGUGCUGCUUUUCACACAGAGAAGAAGAGCUAUCAGGAAUCCUAUAUCAGUGACCUGCUGGAGCUAAACCUGGACCUGGAAGCAAGCAGCAGGAACUCCCUGGGUAAUGAGGACAAUAAGAGGAGCACACAGCUUCUCCUCUACUGCCUCUCAUUGUGCUCCAAAAGCCAUGGCAGCUCCCACAUGGCAGGCAUCAAGCCUAACUCCCAGCAGGGAGAAUGUAAGAUGUUUGUGGAUGAGCCCACAGGGACCUCGAGGUUCUGUGGGAGGACAUCUAGUGGUUCCUGGAGCAGCAGCAGCAGCCAGGACACAUGGAACUACAGUGGAGCAGCCACCCAGAGACCUUCGCAGAACUGUGGGUCAUGCUAAUCAGAAUGAGGGUCCAGAGGUCACAUCCCAGGUUGGGGAGGCAGAGGACAACCACAUAGGUGACUGGUUUGUCUGCCUAGUCAUCUAGAAAGCUCAUGACUAGGUCACACAGUGACACCUGAGGCUGCACACUUGUGGAGCUGCUGGUUUUCAAGAAGUUAACUCCUCUCAAUGGAAUGAAGUUCCUAAGCUUCCUCUCCCGGUAUUGGCCAGGUGAAGUGAAGAUCCACUCCUGCAGGACAUUGUGGUAUAGGCAAGAGCUGUACAGCAGCCCCAUCUGUGCCAGCCAGCCUUGAAGGUGGCUUGCUAGCAUUCCAGCACCACCAGCCUUUGUCCAUGUCUGGGCAAGCAGUUGUUGGCCCUCAACCCUUCUUCCCACCAUAUCAUUCUGUUUUGUCUACCCACUGGUAGGAGAUGGGGAACCAGCUUUGACACUAGUCUGGGGCAAGGGGCAGGUCCUAUUCUUCCUGUCCCAGGCUCUCAGUUCCUGGGAUUCUCAGGAGCAAAAGUGUGAGAGAAACAAGAGUCAAUGUUAGCCGUG
rnacentral:lncRNA from 1 species